rnacentral:rRNA from 1 species
UUCAAACCAUCGGCCUCUUCUCUCGGGAAAGGUCUUUUUGAUGGUGAUUCAUAAUAAGCUUGCGGAUCGCAUGGCUUUGCCGGCGAUGGAUCAUUCAAGUUUCUGCCCUAUCAGCUUUGGAUGGYAGGGUAUUGGCCUACCAUGGCUUUAACGGGUAACGGAGGAUUAGGGUUUGAUUCCGGAGAGGGAGCCUGARAGACRGCUACCRCAUCCAASGAAGGCAGCARGYGCGUAAAUUACCCAAUCCUGACACAKGGAGGUAGUGACAAUAAAUAACAAUGACKGGCCUUUCUAGGUCUGUCWAUUGRAAUGAGAACAAUUUAAAUCCCUUAUCRAGGAUCRAUUGGAGGGSAAGUCUGGUGCCMGCARCCKCSGUAAUGUAAGUUGAUGCAWAUUGSAAGAUGUGUUUUCCCCAKCAACCGACRCUUUGAUGUAACAUUUUCUAAUCUCCUGUACUUUUUUCUACUCUUCUCUUCCUGUGUACUACAGUCCAGCUCCAAUAGCGUAUAUUAAAGUUGUUGCAGUUAAAAAGCUCGUAGUUGGAUUUGUGGUGGCAGCUGAGGUCCAAUUUUGGUA